rnacentral:lncRNA from 1 species
ACAGGAUUUGGAGAAAAAAAAAAAAUGUUUGCAUUUUGCAGGUGCAAGUAUCUCUACACUACGAGAUAAAACCAGCAUUGGAUUGCAUGCUGUCAGGCAUCAGAAGCCAUAAAAACAACUAAUCUCAGUGAUGAUGAUUUUCUCUUUCGCUAUGCUCCUUUUAGCAAUAACACAAGGUUCUACACACAGAGAACAGCGGAACAUUCAGGUUGAUGUGUUGACUGUAGCAUUGGGGGACUCUCUAAUAUUAAACUGUACCUACGACUGCUCUGUUGGAUUCGUGCGAGGCUGCUGGAGUAAGGCAUCAGACAGGUCAGGCUGUUACGGGAAAGUCACUCAAAUGGACUUUUGCACAAUUUCCCUUCAUCUGCCGAAUGUCACCGCGGAAGAUCUGGAGAACUACACUUGUUACACGCAGAACACAGAUCAUGUUGAACUUGCACAAAACAUUCAGCAGACUGUUUUACUGCAGCUGCGAGCUCCAACAACAACCCAUUACCCAUCUACAGUUACACAUGAAACUAAAACGAACACUGCAUCUGUUUCCAGAAAACCAAAGGAUAUCAGCAAAGGAGAAAUUAUUGGAAUUAAGGCUCUAGCAUCAGUUACUGUUGCUGUGGCCACGGCACUGGCAGUAUUAGCAGCCUAUCUCUGCCUGAGUCGCAAUAAACAACGCUGCAGUUGUAAAGGGGAGCCUCUUGUGUCCUCCACAAAUGCAUCACUGAGUUUAGACGCUGCCAGUUCACCGGUGAAGGGUGAAAGAGUGACUUUGAGGAUUCCUACCCCAGACAAUGACAGUGACACUGAGGUUCCAUAUGCGGACAUCAUGAUCACUGUUCGAGGCGUCAGUACACCAGAGCUUACCCAGGUUGGGUACCUGUCUACCGGAGAUGGAAAAGAGUGGUGGAGGGAUGAAUCCCAGGGUCACCUGCAGGCUUCCCGCUCAGCUGACAGACUCCAUCUCCCGCAGCCCAGAGAGAUCAGCCGCAAAAUGAGCACCAACUCCGAGUACGCGGUCAUCACGUACGCCUGACUGGGAAAGGAAAUUCCUUCUCCGAAUACGCUCGUUGUGUUUAUAAUGUGUGAUUAUAGUGAGUUUGUGUCAACCAAUAAAGCUGUUAUGUUUAGCCAGUGUCACAUUUGAGUCUGCGGUGCCGGUAAGGGGACCUGUUGCCUAGCAACGACUGUCAAACACGACAGCUAGCUUAAACGCUGACCAACAAGGUGCAUACGUACUGGGGGCGAGUAAAGGUAACAAACGCAUGUAUAAUUCCACUCAUAACCCUUUUUAAGGUAACUUUAAGUUUAUAAUUCACGAUCCACUUCAGGUGAUGUGUGCAGUGUUGCAAAAUGGCGACUUUCUCGCUAAAUCUAGCGACUUUUCAAAUCAUCUUGGUGACUUUUUUCUUGUCAAAAGCGAAUAGCGACAAAUCCGGGGAAUUUUGAGAGUUGUUGGAUAUUUUUCUUCUUUUGGGAAGACUGACGUAUUGUUCUAGUGUAGUCUAGCAUCGGGUGCUGCCGUCAGUUCCUCCCCCGUUUUAAAGCACCCACGGGCGGCCACUCUCCCAGCAGCCGCCCGCAGCCGUACCAGACGUGUCGGAGCACCGCGCAUGGGCAAACCCUGUCUUCCAAAGAGCGUUGUAAAUGUAAACGUUUCUUCACUGUCACAAUGAAAUAAGUUAUUACAUUUGACUCAAAAACCACUUCCUUUGAAAACAACAACUGUGUGUGGAGAGGAUAAGAAAAUAAGCAUUGAACCCGAAUUUGGGUCAGACUAGUUCUGUGCAUCUGCAUGAAAUGGAAAGAAGCGUUCCUUUACAAUCUUUAUUACAGUCAGCAACCCGUUGUCCUGUUCUGUACCCCCCACCCAUCCACCAACACCAACACCACCAUGCCAUACCCUGAUGCAGAAAAAUAAGAUCAAAACAAAAGUCUCAAUAUUUCACAUUUGAUCUUUCAAAGAUCAAAGGAGUCUUGAUUCAGAGCAACAUGCUAAAUUACAGCUAUUUUCCAUUGUAUUACAACUGCACUCCACUAAUGCUAUAAAAUAAAGAACUACUUUCUGUGUAGAUAUAAAGAAAUACAAAAUACAAGGUAAGAAUAUUACAACCAAAAGACAGUUGAUUCUUUGUACCUUUGCACAAAUGCAAGGAGCACAAUCCUGCUUUAAGUUUUCCAGUUUGUGUUCUUAU